rnacentral:tRNA from 1 species
GAGAGUAUAGCUCAGUGGUAGAGUGUGUGCUUAGCAUGCAUGAGGUCCUGGGUUCAAUCCCUAGUAUCUCCA